UCUCGGUGCUUCCCGCCGAGCUCCGCGAUGACUCCUUAGGGAAAAAUCUGUACCCUCCAAAUCUAGUACUCUUUAGGCUGCAGUGCUGGAAAAGACGUCCAGAAAUUCUCAUUCUAAAUACGUAACAGGUCAAUCUUUCUCUACACCGAGGCAACUGUCAAAGUCCUGUCCAGAAGCUGGGAAUUUGCUUUGAUAUACUGGACACGGCCAGGAAAUGAUGCAGUUACCAAAGGGGGUCAAGAGAAUUUACAGCCCGGUCUCAGUUCAGAAACCCUCAUAAAAUAGAUGCAGAAGGCAACAGGAUAUAAUUCAACUUCGAAAGUGCCAGCCGCUACAGUUGAAGAAAUAUAACCCAAGAGAGUCAGCUCCUCUGCAAGAUGGAAGGAGUCUUCAGUAAGACAUAAAUUUGUAAUGAACUUGCUCUCAACAUCCGGCACCGCUGUGAGUUACAGCUUUCAUCCAUUACCACAGAAUUAGGUACAGGAUGGGUAAGAAUAUGCCUCCACAGAUGUC